UACGGGGGGAGCAAGCGUUGUUCGGAUUUACUGGGCGUAAAGGGCGCGUAGGCGGCGUGACAAGUCACUUGUGAAAUCUCCGGGCUUAACUCGGAACGGUCAAGUGAUACUGUCGUGCUAGAGUACAGAAGGGGCAACUGGAAUUCUCGGUGUAGCGGUGAAAUGCGUAGAUAUCGAGAGGAACACCGGUGGCGAAGGCGGCAUCCUGGACCGGUAUUGACGCUGAGGCGCGAAAGCCAGGGGAGCAAACGGG
rnacentral:rRNA from 1 species